rnacentral:lncRNA from 1 species
UUAACUCUAAUAAAAUUAUGAAAUUUUUUUCAGGACCUGAAGAUGAAUUAUGAAAGGGUGUGACAAGUAUCAGUAAUGCAGGAAGACGCAGAGGUAGAGCAAGAAGAGUAGUGAAAAGAGAGAGCUCCUAAAUAAGGAGCAAAUUAUUGGCAUGGGAAAAAUUCCGAUACAAUUUCCUGGUCUAAACACUCCUGUGUUUAGAGGAAAAGAAUUAAUUCAACAGCAAAAACUGCUUGUAAAUCUUGAAAGAAAGCAAAAACUUAUGGAAUUACCACAAAGUUAGACCAGACCAAUGCAAAUAAAAUUAUCGCCAUUGGAAUGUGGUUGGACGAGUGUUACAAUGGAUGGCAGAAGCAUUGAAUCAGAUCUUAUUGGAAAAGAUACAUUUGAAAGUUUUGAAACCUGGAUUUUGGAAAACAAAAUGAUAACUUGUAUGACCGGUAAUUUAGCACGAUCUAUUUUUUAUUCUAUCGAUGUUUUCAUAGUGAUGCACCUUGAGCACUUUGCUUCAUAUGUUUGCAAUAAAAAUAUAUUAAAGCAA